UUUUACAUUAGAACUCUAAUAUAGUUUUCUAAUGUUUCUCGAAUCGAAUUCAAGCUUAGAGAACAACAUUAGAAUUUGAUUAUAGAAUGAUUAGAGAAACACUCGAAAUGCACUAUCGAUAUAAAUGAUAGUUUUCGAAUACAAUAAGUGUCUGCUGAGUCGCUCAUUCCUAGUGUCAAACAAAAAUAAUACGUGCGAAAAGAAAGUGCUUUAAAUUUUUUUAGACGGUUAUUAUUAUUACAAAAUUACGGAUUGUGGACAUGCUGUUUGAUUAUCGUGAGUUAAGGAAUGAAACCCACGAUGCACUUGAGUCAGAUGCAGAUUCGCCGCCAGCUCUUAAAGAAUUGCGAAGUGACAAUAUCGAAUGUGAUUCAAGCGGCAGUGAAUCCGAAAAGGAGUUUAGUGAAUCAAAUGAUGACAUAGAUGGUGCUUCUGAUGGUGAAAAUUCAAGUUUGCCACAGGACUUAACCGAAUGGACAAUUAAACAUAAUAUUACGACUUCUGCGACGGACGACUUAUUGAAAAUUUUAGCAAAGUUUGUUUCAGGACUUCCGUUAUGCUCUAGAACUUUAAGAAAUACACCAAAAGAAAUACCUAAAGUAACAAUGGGUUCGGGAGAAUAUGUACAUUACGGCGUUGAAAGAGCUUUGACCGAUUUUUUAAAUCAGAAUGACUUCAAUGAUAUCCGGUUGGACUUAAACUUUAAUAUUGAUGGGCUUCCACUGGCAAAAAGUUCUAACCUUCAGGUGUGGCCAAUUCUAAUUAAUGUAAACGGGUGGGACGAUGUGAAGGUUAUUGGAGUGUAUUGUGGGAAUAGCAAGUCAGCAAGCGCAAACGACUUUCUUACAAAAUUUGUAGAUGAACUACUUAUUUUAAUGGAAAAUAGAAUAUUUUUUAACGAAAAACAUUACUCUGUAAAUUGUCGAGGUUUUAUAUGUGACGCACCUGCGCGAGCGUUUAUCCUUGGUAUCAAAGGUCAUUGUGGAUAUUCGUGUUGUCCUAAAUGCAUACAGAAAGGCCAGUCUAAAAAUCACAAAAUAAUUUUUGUUAAAGAAAAUAGUUUUCCUCGAACUGAUACCGAUUUUCGUGCUCGUGUUGAUAGAGCCCAUCAUGUAAUUUUAGAACCGAUGGUAAUUGAAAAGCUUCCAAUAGAUAUUGUUAAAUCGUUUGCUUUGGAUUACAUGCAUGUAGUCUGUCUAGGAGUUACAAAGACUUUAUUGUUGGCCUGGAUAAAAAAACGUAAAAAACCUUAUUCACUUAAACAGAAACAAAUUCAAGCAUUAGAUUCAAGAAUAAUGUUUAUUUGCAAUCAGGUGCCGCGAGAGUUUGCUAGGCACCCACGUUCUUUGAAAGAUGUUGAGCGGUUUAAAGCCACAGAGUUUAAAAGCUUUCUUCUCUAUACUGGAAUAUUUUUUACUAAAAGAAAUUUUAGAUCCAGUAAAAUAUAACAAUUUUUUGCUUCUUUCACUAAGCAUUAGGAUUCUUUUAAGUCAAAAUAAUUAUAUUAAAUACAAUAGAUGUGCUAGUCAAAUGCUGGAAAAAUUCGUAGAACUUGUGCCUCAGUAUUACGAUGAUGAUUUCCUUACAUUCAAUUUUCAUUGCUUAACACAUCUCGCAAGUGAUACCGUAGCAUAACCAUGUCGUCUCACAAGUAUACAAUCGUUUAGUUGAGGACAGUUUUAGGUCAAACAAUGCUAUGAAUCCAUCGACUGAAAUUAAAAAAGGAAAAUUUAGAAAUGAUUCAUUAAUAUUUGUACAAACUUCAAAGUUUUACUUUUCGCCGAAAGAACCUGAUAACUUUUACAGCGUUAAGGGCAAAAUAUUUAAAUUAGUAGCUAUAAAUAAGGCCACAAAGCUACUUGGAAAGGAAGUUCUGAAUUUACAGGAUUAUUUUGAAACACCUCAUCAGGAAUUCUCAAUAUCAAGUCAUGUGAAGUCCUAAAAAUUUCGUCUUCCGUCUAUCAUCACAACUUAGAUGAAAUAUCAGAAAAAAUUAUAAAAUUUAGUAACUACGAGUCUAACAUCAACUUGUUCAUUCCUUUCCUUCAUUAAUUUUUUUUUUGAUAUUUAAAUAUUUGUAAGCAUUAAGAACAUAUAAACGUACAUAAAUUAUUCGGACAGAAAAUGGAUUUUAACCACAUCAUAGAAGAAGCAUCAGAAAAUAGUCCUGUAACUAAAAAAGAUAUUGAUUUGCUUGAGAAAAGGAUAUUGGACCGUAUAAAACAGUCGGAAAAUAAAAUACUGAAAGAAAUAGACCACAAUCAAAGAUCCAUAAAGAGGGCCCUGACACGAAUUUUGCAAGAAACAAAAGAAACAAAGCAGACUACAAAGACAAACCACAAAUCACGAAGUGAGCUGCUCCUGAAAGUUCCAUUUGAUAACUUGGAACAAUUUCAAAAUUUUGAAAAAGAUAUACAGGAGCAUUCCAGCAAAUUUAAUGAACUGAAGGAGGAAUUUUUCACAGUAUCUGGCCACACAGCUGAAAAGUUCGUAAAAAAUGCUUGGCGCCAAAUUUUUAUCGAUGGUGUUGCGCAGAAUUUGUGUUGGAAGGGUACGAAGGAUAAAAUGGCUGUGAGACCGUUAAGUGUAACAGCUGCCUUAAAAA